rnacentral:lncRNA from 1 species
CAGUGUUAGUUGGCCCUGCGACUGUAGCAAGCUCUGAUUCCUUGAUGGUCUUAGAAACCUCAGUCUUAAUUGGAGGCAUAGUAAAUAUAGGCUCACGAUGAUGGCCUCAAUUAUACUCAUUUUGCUAAACUCCCGAUCUGACUCUUUAGCUGGCUUCUUCGUCGUUUCAGUGGGCGGCUCGAGAUUUUCCUUUAUGCCCAUCUCAACGGCCACCUUCGGAGUGACCUUGGAGAUAUCUACCUUAGGAUACAAUUUCUUGAUUUAAUUACGAUAUUGACUGAAUGCAUAAUCAUAUGUGCCCUCGAAACUCUCAGA